AGAUUUGGCUAUGAUUGAUUUAUGAUUAUAUUAGGAUUUGAUUAAGAUUGAUUUAGAAUUUUAUUAGGAUUUGAUUAGAAUUUGAUUAAAAUUGGUUUAAAAUCUCUUUAGGAUUUAAUUAAAAUUUUAUUAGAAUUUGAUUAGGAUUUUUUAAAUAUUACAUUAAGAUUUGGCUAGGAUUGGUUUAGGAUUUCAUUAGGAUUUGGUUAGGAUUUGAUUAAUAUUGAUUUAGGAUUUCUUUAGGACUUACUUAGGAUUUCAUUAGAAUUUGGUUAGGAUUUUUUUAAAAUUUCAUUAAGAUUUGAUUAG
rnacentral:lncRNA from 1 species